CGUCUUUUCUGCAUCAGUCUAAAUAUGUAUCAAGAUUUAGCAUCCAGCAUGCAAUAUUAUACCGAUCCUUCGGAUGAUAUGUUUACUAGGCCAGUCAAAGAUCUUUUGCUUUCCUUCCUGGGUGACAUUUAGUUGCAGUUUCUUUUUUUAUCUUACUUGUUUAUUUAUUCUCUUCCUUCAUCUAUCUAGCACUAGUAAACCUAAAUUCUUGGUACCACUACAACUCUCUGGAUAUGUUAAGAUUUUAGCCAUAAAAAUAUUUUUGCUAGUACUUUCCCACCAGGACUCCCUAUCCUUUUCACUGACAACAAGCUACAAAGAACGGCUCCGGAGGAGAAGUGACCACGAGAGGAGCAGCAGCAGCUGUAUCAGCACCGCCGCUGGCUGUUUGUUUUACAAACCAACCACAAGAAAAAGAGACACAACCAGAGACUCCUUCACAGAGAGAGGAUUUCAAAUGGAGUCAGCCUGAACCUGGGCUGGAAAAUGUCUGUCCAUCACAGCACCACCAUCUUGAAGUCUGGGCACAACCUAAUUGACUCCCAGCUCUCUCCUCAGUCAGAAAUCCCUAUGGCCCUCCUUCAUCCCAUUCACCUCAUCAGAUCCAGGCUCAGUUUAAGCUCUGCAGAAGUGCGCUCCUUAUCACAUCCAGAUCUUCAGUAUUUCUUCAUCCCUUCACCCCCACUGCUAGUGUCUAGACUCCAUCCCGAUGGGGUAUAACCACCACAGACCUUUUCACAUUUCUCAUAGUCACUAUACACGUCAAUAAAUUAUUAUUCUUCACUCA